AUUGAACGCUGGCGGCAGGCCUAACACAUGCAAGUCGAACGAGUGGCGGACGGGUGAUUAAUGUCUGGGAAACUGCCUGAUGUAGGGGGAUAACUACUGGAAACGGUAGCUAAUACCGCAUACCAUCGGAUGUGCCCAGAUGGGAGUAGCUAGUAGGUGGGGUAACGGCUCACCUAGGCGACGAUCCCUAGCUGGUCUGAGAGGAUGACCAGCCACACUGGAACGGGGACACGGUCCAGAAUCAUACGGGAGGCAGCAGAGGGGAAUAUUGCACAAGUGGCGCAAGCCGGAUGCAGCCAUGCCGCGUGUAUGAAGAAGGCCUUCGGGUUGUAAAGUACUUUCAGCGGGGAGGCGUUACCCGCAGAAGAAGCACCGGCUAACUCCGUGCCAGCAGCCGCGGUAAUUC
rnacentral:rRNA from 1 species